rnacentral:rRNA from 1 species
AUGGUAUGGACCACUUCCAUGACCAACACUAUGCUAGAUUUUUUGGCUGACCUUGUUGCUAAAGGGAAGAGAACUUCUAGUGGAUUCAGGGAGACACAUCUCAAACAAUGCGCUGCUGUUUUGAAUGAGAAAUUCAAGCUAGCUAUCACCUCUGAUCAAGUUAGAAACCAUCUCAAGAAGUGGAGGAAGAUUUGGGUCAGGGUUGUCAAUUUGAAGAAUUUAAGUGGAGCUCUAUGGGAUGAAGAUACUUGCACAAUUAGGCUCAGCGAAGAACACUAUGCAGGUCACUGUAUGACCCACAAACCUGAUGCUCCCUUCUUGAAUAACCCAAUUGAACACUAUCAUGCCAUGGCGACCAUUUUUGGAACAACCGGGGCUAAGGGGAUGAAUGCAAGGUUUGGAAAUGAUCUCCUUUCUAUUGACGUUGAUGAUGAGGAGAAUGGUGAGAUCAACACGUCACCGCAAGUUGGUGAGUCUUCUCACCCCAAAGGACCACCAAAAAAGAUGGCCCAGGUGCUGAAAGUUCUAGAGGAUCCACUAGGUGCCAUUCUCAAAGAUGGUUUUAAACUUGUGGCUGAAGCUCUUGUGAAAUCUGGUGGAGAUGAUGAUGAUAUACCCGAUGACCUUUGGGAUGUAGUCUCUAGUUUGAAAGAAUUUGAUGAAGAGCACCUUGCCCACUACUAUGCUCAUCUUGUUGACAACCCCAAGACGGCAAGAGCCUUCAUGAAACUUUCUGAAACCAACAAAUAUGUUUGGGUGAGUAGGUAUGUGAAGAACUUCUAA